AUACGUAGGUGACAAGCGUUAUCCGGAUUUACUGGGCGUAAAGGGCGUGUAGGCGGUCUUGCAAGUCAGAAGUGAAAUUCCUGAGCUCAACUCGGGCGCUGCUUCUGAAACUGCAGGACUUGAGUGUUGGAGGGGAUAGCGGAAUUCCUAGUGGAGCGGUAAAAUGCGCAGAUAUUAGGAAGAACACCGGUGGCGAAGGCGGCUAUCUGGACAGUAACUGACGCUGAGGCGCGAAAGCGUGGGAGCAAACAGGAUUAGAUACCCGGGUAGUCCACGCCGUAAACGAUGAAUACUAGGUGUAGGGGGUAUCGACUCCCUCUGUGCCGCAGUUAACACAAUAAGUAUUCCGCCUGGGGAGUACGGCCGCAAGGUUGAAACUUAAAGGAAUUGACGGGG
rnacentral:rRNA from 1 species